CCUACGGGAGGCAGCAGUGAGGAAUAUUGGUCAAUGGGCGCGAGCCUGAACCAGCCAAGUAGCGUGAAGGAUGACUGCCCUACGGGUUGUAAACUUCUUUUAUAAAGGAAUAAAGUGAGGCACGUGUGCCUUUUUGUAUGUACGUUAUGAAUAAGGAUCGGAUAACUCCGUGCCAGCAGCCGCGGUAAGACGGAGGCUCCGAGCGUUAUCCGGAUUUAUUGGGUUUAAAGGGAGCGUAGAUGGGUUGGUAAGUCAGUUGUGAAAGUUUGCGGCUCAACCGUAAAAUUGCAAUUGAUACUGGCAGUCUUCAGUACCGUUGUGGUAGGCUGACUUCGUGGUGUAGCGGUGA
rnacentral:rRNA from 1 species